GCCUAUAGCGUCCGUAGCCGGCUUUGUAAGUUUUCGGUUAAAUCUAUAUGCUCAACAUAUAGGCUGCCGGGAAUACUGCAAAGCUAGGGAGUGGGAGAGGUAGACGGUACUCGGUAGGAAGGGGUAAAAUCCUUUGAUCUAUCGAUGACCACCAGUGGCGAAGGCGGUCUACCAGAACACGUCCGACGGUGAGGGAUGAAAGCUGGGGGAGCAAACCGGAUUAGAUACCCGGGUAGUCCCAGCUGUAAACUAUGCAAACUCAGUGAUGCAUUGGCUUGUGGCCAGUGCAGUGCCGCAGAGAAGUCGUUAAGUUUGCCGCCUGGGAAGUACGUACGCAAGUAUGAAACUUAAAGGAAUUGGCGGGGGAGCACCACAAGGGGUGAAGCCUGCGGUUCAAUUGGAGUCAACGCCAGAAAUCUUACCCGGAGAGACAGCAGAAUGAAGGUCAAGCUGAAGACUUUACCAGACAAGCUGAGAAGUGGUGCAUGGCCGUCGCCAGCUCGUGCCGUGAGGUGUCCUGUUAAGUCAGGUAACGAGCGAGAUCCCUACCUCUAGUUGCCACCAUUACUCUCAGGAGUAGUGGGGCGAAUUAGCGGGACUGCCGCAGUUAAUGCGGAGGAAGGAGGGGGCCACGGCAGGUCAGUAUGCCCCGAA
rnacentral:rRNA from 1 species